GAUGAACGCUAGCGGCAGGCUUAAUACAUGCAAGUCGAGGGGCAGCGCAGUGUAGCAAUACAUGGGCGGCGACCGGCAAACGGGUGCGGAACACGUACACAACCUUCCUACAAGUGGAGAAUAGCCCAGAGAAAUUUGGAUUAAUACCCCGUAACAUAGCGAUGUGGCAUCACAUUGCUAUUAUAGCUUCGGCGCUUGUUGAUGGGUGUGCGGCUGAUUAGAUAGUUGGCGGGGUAACGGCCCACCAAGUCUACGAUCAGUAGCUGAUGUGAGAGCAUGAUCAGCCAGACGGGCACUGAGACACGGGCCCGACUCCUACGGGAGGCAGCAGUAAGGAAUAUUGGACAAUGGACGAAAGUCUGAUCCAGCCAUGCCGCGUGAAGGAUUAAGGUCCUCUGGAUUGUAAACUUCUUUUAUAAGGGACGAAAAAAGGUCUUUCUAGAUCGUCUGACGGUACCUUAUGAAUAAGCACCGGCUAACUCCGUGCCAGCAGCCGCCGUAACAC
rnacentral:rRNA from 1 species